UACGAGGGGGGCGAGCGUUGUUCGGAAUUAUUGGGCGUAAAGGGUGCGUAGGCGGUUUGGUAAGUCUCUUGUGAAAUCUAUGGGCUCAACUCAUAGUCUGCAAGGGAAACUGCCGGGCUUGAGUGUGGGAGAGGUGAGUGGAAUUCCUGGUGUAGCGGUGAAAUGCGUAGAUAUCAGGAGGAACACCUGUGGCGAAAGCGGCUCACUGGACCACAACUGACGCUGAGGCGCGAAAGCUAGGGGAGCAAACAGG
rnacentral:rRNA from 1 species